CUUGGUCAUUUAGAGGAAGUAAAAGUCGUAACAAGGUCUCCGUUGGUGAACCAGCGGAGGGAUCAUUACCGAGUUAUACAACUCAUCAACCCUGUGAACAUACCUAAAACGUUGCUUCGGCGGGAACAGACGGCCCUGUAACAACGGGCCGCCCCCGCCAGAGGACCCCUAAGUCUGUUUUUAUAAUGUUUUUCUGAGUAAACAAGCAAAUAAAUUAAAACUUUCAACAACGGAUAUCUUGGCUUUGGCAUCGAUGAAGAACGCAGAGAAAUGCGAUAAGUAAUGUGAAUUGCAGAAUUCAGUGAAUCAUAGAAUCUUUGAACGCACAUUGCGCCCCCCAGUAUUCUGGCGGGCUUGCGUGUUCGAGCGUCAUUACAACCCUCAGGCCCCCGGGCCUGGCGUUGGGGAUCGGCAGAAGCCCCCUGUGGGCACACGCCGUCCCUCAAAUACAGUGGCGGUCCCGCCGCAGCUUCCAUUGCGUAGUAGAUAACACCUCGCAACUGGAGAGCGGCGCGUCCAUGCUGUAACACACCCAAUUUCUGAAUGUUGACCUCGAAUCAGGUAGGAAUACCCGCUGAACUUAAGCAUAUCAAUAAGCGGA
rnacentral:rRNA from 1 species